rnacentral:rRNA from 1 species
UAGGGAAUCUUCCGCAAUGGACGAAAGUCUGACGGAGCAACGCCGCGUGAGUGAUGAAGGUUUUCGGAUCGUAAAGCUCUGUUGUUAGGGAAGAACAAGUACCGUUCGAAUAGGGCGGUACCUUGACGGUACCUAACCAGAAAGCCACGGCUAACUACGUGCCAGCAGCCGCGGUAAUACGUAGGUGGCAAGCGUUGUCCGGAAUUAUUGGGCGUAAAGGGCUCGCAGGCGGUUUCUUAAGUCUGAUGUGAAAGCCCCCGGCUCAACCGGGGAGGGUCAUUGGAAACUGGGGAACUUGAGUGCAGAAGAGGAGAGUGGAAUUCCACGUGUAGCGGUGAAAUGCGUAGAGAUGUGGAGGAACACCAGUGGCGAAGGCGACUCUCUGGUCUGUAACUGACGCUGAGGCGCGAAAGCGUGGGGAGCGAACA